CUUCCCUGUUCUACCCAUCUUUUGCUUGCCCCACAAGACACUCUUUUACCAUCAGAUCAUGAUAUGAUGAUGGAUGAAACCCUUACCAACCCUGUUGCUGGUGUUACUAGCUCUCCACUUAGUUUAAAUGCCCCGAACAAUGACAUUGAUAUGUUACAUAUACCCAAUCCUUCAAACCCAUCAGAUAACCCAACUACAAAUCUUCCUAAACCUUUCUUUUUUCCUCUUCCCUCCCCUCAAACCACCCAUACUAACCUAGCAGCCCAAAUUGAGCAAGUUCUCUCUUCGCCUGC
rnacentral:lncRNA from 1 species